GCGCCCGUAGCUCAGGUGGAUAGAGCAACGGUUUCCUAAACCGUGUGUCAGGGGUUCGAGUCCCUUCGGGCGUACCA
rnacentral:tRNA from 2 species